rnacentral:misc_RNA from 1 species
GAUGAAGAACGCAGCGAAAUGCGAUAAGUAAUGUGAAUUGCAGAAUUCAGUGAAUCAUCGAAUCUUUGAACGCACCUUGCGCCCUUUGGCUAUUCCGAAGGGCAUGCCUGUUUGAGUAUCAUGAACACCUCAACUCUUCACGGCUUGCCGUGAUGAGUUUGGACUUUGGGGGUCUUGCUGGCCUACGAGCCAGCUCCUCUCAAAUGUAUUAGCUUGCCGGUGUUUGGUGGCAUCACAGGUGUGAUAACUAUCUACGCUUGUGGUUUUCCACUAGGUAAACUUCAGCAAUGGAGGUUCACCGGAGCUCACAAAUGUCUCUCCUUGCCAAGGACAGAUUUUGACCAUUUGAUCUCAAAUCAGGUAGGACUACCCGCUGAACUUAAGCAUAUCAAUAAGCGGAGGA